CCUCAUUGUGUUUUCACUUGCGGCAGCAGUGGCUCCUGGAUUCAGCGCUGGAAAAACCUUAAGUUCCUUAAGUUAAAACAAUAGAAGACAAUGGAAGCUAUAAAAACGCAAAGCAAAACUUGCUCUCAGGCACAAGGUAUUGAGCAGGAGCAGAAAAAGCCAAGGAGGAAAGACACUCCAGUUCUUUAUAUACCACCUCUCACUCCAGGAGUUAAAUUAAUGAAAGAAGAGAAACAAACAGUUUUCACGGAAGAAGAAGAAGAAGAGCAAGAAGCAAAGAAUUAACACUGAAACUUAACCUUCGUGCUUUGCUUUGCUGUGCAUUUUAAAAACUCUUCUUAAAAAC